ACAGUACUCUGGAGAGACCCUAGUUAUGGGCGCCGAAGGGGCAAAGGGAUGUGAUAUACUUUACCUAAUCUCUCAGGCAAAAGGACAGAGAC
rnacentral:ncRNA from 1 species